GAGGAGGUGGAGGGGUGGAAAGAUCAAAGUCAAUUUUUUUUUCGCCUCGAGCCCGAUGGAGAAAUAAUCCGGUAAAAGGCCUCCACUACUCCGUUACUUUUGCGAGGAAAACCCCAAGACGCGGAGUCUGGUCGCGUGAACCAAAAUCUUGGACAAAGGAACCCGCCUUGCCGAGUGUAAAAGCUAUUCUUUGGAAUCGUAGCAGAAGGAACAUCAAUCGAUGAACCUCUUUGUCGCCCUAAACACAAUACAGCUUAAUAACGAGCAGAACGUUUCGAUAUCGUUAAGGGAUGUCUCUCCAAACUAGGCAAAUUGCUACAGGACGGGGAAUCCUCUUUAAAAAUUAAUUCCAAGGGAACAAAUGCGAGAUAACUAAGACAAAUUUUAUUCGAAUAUGUUUAUAAGGAACCAUUUUUUAGAGAUUCUUGAUAUCUUGAAGAGUGAGAUAAUUUUUUUUUUUUAAUUAUUCAUAUAUAGGGUGUUAAGAAUGGUGAUUUAUUAAAGGAUCGUCUUCAAGAAGAGAGCAACUGUCUUACAAAGUUUCAGAGUAUUUUUUUUCUUUUAGAGAGACAGUCUGCUCGAGUUGCACAUCGGUGAAUGCGUUCGAGCAGGGCGCAAGGGGACGAGAUGCACAGCGUAGUUCCAUUGACUGUUAGACAAUACUAUUAUUCUUAUUGUUGCUCGGUAUCUAACUACUAUUGUGUACGUUUCUCUAUCGUAUCCGAGAAUGUCACGCAACGUAUGCAUGGUUAAGACCAUAUCGAACGAUAACGCAAGAUUGCGUCUGGCUAAAGAUUAUUGACAUCUGAUGUUUCACAUCAUCGAUGUAAAUAUCUUCUUUUCGUAUACCAUUUACUCGUUACCCUAUUUUCAAUUCAUUCCAAGCACUCGCUGUUGUCGAUUUUCUAAAAAGUUUGUAAAUUCUCGUUGCAACCCCUUAGGUAAAGGUUUCGGUUAAGGCUCGAGCCAUUCACGGGAGACCACUGGUCCUUCCCCAAGAAUCGAGUCCUCCCGAGACGCGCAAAGAGCUCGCUCGUGGGACCUUGCACCCGAAAUUCAACCCCCUUACGCGGUCAGAAUUCGAAGUCCGCGAGAGGGAUCCCCGGUACGAAAACACCGCGGGGGUUGAGAGAGAAUCUCGUUUCUGGGUGACUCGUGGCUGGAAGAAGAACGUACGAGGCUGAAUUCGCGGGACAAAGGGAGAGAGCGAGGCGCGGAAACGCAGGGUACAGAAACACAUUACGGGGGCGGAGGAACGUUGGGCGGAGGGUGGGAGGGGGGCGAGUAGCCAAAGAGAGAUAAAGAAUUCUAGGAAGGAAGGAAGGCAGGCAGGCAGGAAGGAAGGAACACGCGAACUAACGACGUGCUACCGAUGGAGAGAAAUAGAGAUAAAGAGAAGCGAGACGGAGUCCUCGAUCCCCCUGACUCGCCCCUGAAGGUUGCUCUCGUUGGGAAGGAGGUUGCACGCCCUUGAACGAAGACGGGCAACAGGACCCCGCGACGUGCAUCCGUUUGAACAGAGACGAACGCAACGGGAAACGAGUAGUGGGUGGCCUGGCGUAGCCUGGCCUAGCAGCGACUGGGCUCGGCGGACCUAGGAGCGAGAGAGACAGAGAUCGGGAGCUAGAAGAAACGCGGGUAGGUACGAGGGCUCGAUUUUCUGGGUGACGCGUGCGCGACGGGCGCCGCGGCGCGCUCGCGCCAUCAGUACCGACCACCACCACCGGCGUCGUCGUCACCACCACCCAACGUCGACGACCACCACCAGCAGAGCAGGCGCGACGGUGCUGGCCAGCGGCAAGCGGGUAACGAGACCGCGCCGGCAGAGAAACGGCACCUACCAUCAGUACGAUCACGAGCAUCGCCAACCCCGUCUCGUCGCGGAAAAUGCGCGGCAGGGGUGGAAAAGGGCCGACGUUGAAUCGUACCCUGCCUGGUUUUCGGCGGACGACGACACAGCAGCCUGUUCACGGCGAGGGAAUGCUCUCCUGGUGGGGGUCCGACUCGCGUGUGGGUGAGAGGGUUAGGGGUGGGUGGUUCGGUGGUGGUGGCUCCGGAGCCGACAUCCUCGUUCUAGGGUGGAAACCACCGGCACAACCGAGGGCUAGUGGGGGAUCCAGAGACGGCUACAACGAGAGGCGGCUUGGUUGGAGGGCGAACAGUCGAUCCCUGGGGCACUUCCAGGGGGAUUGGGGGUUGAUAUCGAGGGGCAGGGCUACGUGGGCGAAGACGGAGAGGGCGCAGUGGUCCCGCGACCAUCAAACCAACAACACCGUCCCGACACAAAACGGCGCAUUCUGCUGCGCCCCUUUCUUCUUCUUCUCUGCCGCUGCUUUCGUCUUCUUCGUUGACACGUCCUGCCUCCGCCGUAGUCGGCCGCGACGGCAUCGGCCUCGUCCACGUCCUUUACUUGUCGGCUCGAAAGGUACCGGCACGCUUCCCGCCUAAGGAUUCCCCAUGGUUUUUCGGCCUCGCAAGUUCCUAACUACCCCGGAUCUGCGACGGAUCGGGUCGCGAUACGGUUCUCCGCGACCGGUGACCGUGGCUGGAGGAUCAAGAGGACCGCAAGAUCGACGAUCCCGCCGCGAACCGGCCACCCUCCAGGACACGGAGUUCACAGAUACCAGGUACAACUAUGCGGUUCGUCGGCUCGGUACCAGGGCUCUCAUGAAUGAAGAAGGGUUCACCAGGAUCGAUGAAGAGGGCGUGCCUUCGGGGGAGGAUUGGUGAUCCGUGACGUUUUCAACCCCACCUGAGAAGGGCGCAAACGGAGUGCACGUGCUCGAUUACGUCACGAGGACACACGGACCGGGAGAGCGAAGCCAUUCAGUGAUCCUGUCCGACGAUCCUCGGAGUCUUCCUGUCGCCACGAGGAACAGAGAAUGCCCGUGGGAUGCAAGAGUGGGAUUACGGAGACUUCGGAGAAGCGAGAAUCGAUACGGGUACCACCAUCGAAGAAGGAAGAUGCGUGAGUCUGUGCUCCUUGCGUUCACUGCGGGCUUCCAUGUGCCAACUUUUCAAAAUUCAUAAGGCACGCGGUGAAUGCCAAGAGCGGACCAAAUUCAACGUUCCACGUUAAAAUCCCAGCUCGAGUCCUGGACGCUUCAGGAUAGUUUAACUGCUCGUUAUCUUAGACACGACAGGUCAGUAGAAAAAGCAAAUCUCAUUUCUUACGGAACUCAACGACUCCCUCCCCUCCAACGAUCUCCUUCUGUAGAUACUCAUUUGUGGAAGUACCGCAACAAGUAGUAUGAAUCGUACCUCGUGAAUGGGGCGGCGUAAAUCGGUAUUUGUAGAUCGAAGUAUUUAUUUAACCCUUUUGCGCGUAGCAGUCUGAUCUGUCGCAAAUCUAAUAAAAGAAUGCGUUUGUAAAUUUCAUUUAAAUUGUUUUAUUAUCGUAUGGAAUGUGGACAUUGUAACAAGUGGUAUGCAAAGCUCGAAAAAGAAUCUUUGAAAAAUGAAACACGUAGCUGAUGCUGUAUUGCUUUUUUAGUUACUUUUAUGUUAAAGAUUAUUGUCUCUGGAUUAUUGAAGAAGGCCUUAAUCUAUAUAGUCUUACUACUUUUUUCUUACCGCAUUAGAAUCUCAAUUAUCAUGUUAUGCAGAAAAUUAUCUAAGAAUAUUGAUGAUUUUUACAAUUUUGUUGUUGAUUCUGGUUCCCAUUGAUAAGUAGUACGAUUUCUAUAAAAUAGUCUGGAAGAAUCCUCUUUUCAACCCACCUCAUACCAUGCCACCCUAAUCGUAGUAUUUACUAACAACGUAGAUCUAUACGCUAACUUCAAACCCUGUACAUACAUUUUUUGUAAUAAAAAAAAUCGUCCCCCGUACGAUGUGUCUGCAUUUCUCAAUCAUCCCUCCAUCGCGAUACUCUUCUCUCCUCCAGUCUACCAGUGGCAGGUAAGGAACCUUGAACUAUUUUUCUCCGAAUACCUAAUUUCAUUCGUAAUCACCCAUUGAGCCCCGAGAAGAAAGAAAUCGAUACGUAAACUCGACGAAUCAAAGUUCAACCACCCCGUCGACAAAGGCACGAUGUUCAACGUUUCCGAAAACGCAUCGUCGCCGUCGUUGCACUCGUUCGUCAAUCGUCGCACGAAUAAAAUUUCAUCCCCGAACGCCGGUAUCGCGUAUUCCCUGGAAGAUAACCUCGUAGCUCGAGUCCAAGUGGCGAUUCGCAGCGGCAUCGGCGAGCAGCGGACGGGGUAGCAGAGGUUGGCAAUCGUUUUAAGUGUCCCAGCGUGGCACGAGGUUGGCCGGGGCCGAGGGUGUGGGGAGACAGGUCGAGCUUAAAGUCGGAACCGCCACCCCCGUAAUGGAAAUUGGAGAAUCCACGGGCGUACGACGAAAACGGCUGGUUGUAUCGACCGAGUCCUCAUCCGCGGAAUGGGCAAACACAGGGACGACGAAGGGGCGAGGGCGGCUGCCGCGGGGGAGAGGGAUGGACGGAGGUUUAAGGGUGGACGUACGUUGCCUGGCAACCCAUCCCUUCUCGCAGCAUCCCAACCCCCUCUGGAACCGUCGACUACUCGCAUCCACCGACGACGCGAGCUACCAAUACCACCGCCACCCCCACACCCCAGAUGACGUCGCUUCCGCUUCUACCCAGCAACCACCGGGGCUCUGCUCCCCGUUCUGCCCCCUUCUCGGAAGCGAAUCUCUCUCCUGAUGUCUCUAUCUCUCUCCUCCGACGGUACAUACAUCCCUCUUCCUCUCUCUCUCUCUCUUCAUCCCUAUUUCCCCUCUUUCUCUCUCCCUCAGCGGAGCGUCCGACACUCCACGCAGCCUCUCCUCCAUUAUUCAGUGCCGAUGCUCAACCACUGUCCCUUUUCGCCAGCUUCCGUCUCCCAGGCUGCCGGAUACGCGUUUUUUCUUCUUCUUCAUUCCAGCUUUCACCGCUCGGCUGCGGAGAACUCUCCGGAAUAAUGGAAGUCUGAGAACGC